ACUCAGCACUGCAAAAUAACUUGAUAUUUUUUACCGGACAGAAAGGCCAUGGGUUGAAUGGCGAUGACUUCCUGGCUGUGGGCCUGCUCAAUGGCAGUGUGGUUUAUAGUUAUAACCUGGGGUCUGGCAUAGCAAGCAUCAGGAGCGAGCCCCUCAAUCUGAGCCUUGGAGUCCACACUGUUCAUCUGGGGAAGUUCUUCCAAGAGGGCUGGCUGAAGGUAGAUGAUCACAAAAAUAAAUCCAUUAUCGCCCCAGGAAGACUGGCUGGUCUCAAUGUCUUCAGUCAGUUUUAUGUAGGUGGCUACAGUGAAUACACUCCAGAUCUCUUACCAAAUGGAGCAGAUUUUAAAAAUGGUUUUCAAGUUCAAAAGGCAAGAGACAGACUGCAGUCAACCCAUCCAUACCACCAAGGGGUAGCCCACAGAGGCCAGAGCAAGCCAAGAGGAUUAAGGACAACAUUGUGCUUGGAAACACUAAGAUUGCACACUCCUGGAAGUAUGUCAACUGCCACAGUCCUUAUCUCACUGCGUCAUCAAGGCUGGAGUACAGUGGUGCCAUCUCAGCUCACUGCAACCUCCAUCUCCAGGGCUCAAUCAAUCCUCCCACCUUAGCCUCUCAUGUAGCUGAGCCACUAAACCCAGCUAACACAUCCUUACAAAGCUGAUUUAUAUUGUAGUAGAGUUAUAAAAUACAGACAUGCUUUAAAUUGUUAUAACAA
rnacentral:sRNA from 1 species